rnacentral:lncRNA from 1 species
UUAGGUGCCUCACCAGCAGAAGAAGGGACCAAUGAGGCUUUAACAUGGUCAGGUAAGGCAGCCUGUCAUUCAUUCACACUCAUAAAACUGGAUUAAAGGCCCAUUUAAGUAAAAAAUUCCUCUCUUCAGAUCUGCGUCCUGCUGGUCCAGUCCAUUUCAGCAGCGUGAGGUCCGAUUCUGUUGUUCUGAACUGGGAAGCUCCUGCAGGACUGACUGGAAACCAGAAGUUUAUGGUGAAGUGGGAGCAGAAACAGAAACUGGUUUCAGGUUCAAGUGCUGAGAUCCAGGAACUCACACCAGGAGAAGAAUAUGAAUUUACAGUAGAACCUGAAUAUGGGAACCAGAGUCCAUAUCACACCACAUCCGCAAUAAGAGGAAAAAUCCGUCUUCCUCUUGUGAUCAAUUUCAAAUUGGAGAACACCUCCAUGUGUGUGCAGUGUGAAGAUUCUGAACAUCUAAGCAGGCAUCAAAAAUUCAAACUCAGUUGGGGAAAGAUGGGGAAACUGAAGUGUGUGGACAUUCCAGGCUUAAAUACUGAGUUUCAGAACGUUGAACCAGGAGAGGAACAUGAAUUUACUGUCUACAUGCUCAGUGAUGACGACAAACCAAUUAUGUCUGCAUCUAAAAAUGUAUUGACAGAAAUCCCCCCUCCUGUAGAUGUGAAGUUGUGCUCUGAUGAUGGAACUGUCUCAGUGUCAUGGAAGAAACCUGCAGGACUGAACGCUGCAUCGUACCUCGUCUCCUUGUACAGUAAUAAGAUGCCGAUGAAGAGUUUAUACACCCAGUCUCAGAACUGUUCUUUCCAACUUCAACCUGACAAGAAGCACAUGAUCAGCAUCGAGACUGUACUGAAAAAUGGCAAAAAGAGCAAACCUGUCGAAAUUACCCCCUAUAAAGGUCAGGUUCCUGCACCAGAGAAUCUUUCUGUGGAGGUGAACUCACCAUCAGUAUCAGUAACAUGGAGAAAACCACCAGGAGUAGAUCAGGUCUCAUACCUGCUGUCCUACGGAAGUAAAGGAGAAGAAGAACAGACCAUUUCUACAGAGUCUCUCCAAUAUUCUCUAGAUGAUCUACGGUUUUGUUCAGAGUACAAGAUCAGGGUCUGUACUGUACUGAACAACCUUCACCACAGUAAACCUGUCUACAAGAACAUCAGGACAGGUAAGAAAAUUAAUUUGUGCAAAUGCAACAAAAUGAAGCCUUCUACACUUAAAGAUUGGUUAUCUGCUCAAAAUGAACAAUGGAGUCAAUUUUGAAAAGU